CUCUACUUUAAGUUUAAGUAUGCUUAUUCUAGCGGGUCUCGGUGUCCUGGCAGGAUUAUAACCACCUAAAUUGACUUCUUGCAUCCAACUACCGACCACUAAAACUUUGCUGAUUCCUGGUCGAUAUCAGAGUAUUGGCCCCUGGCAUUUAUAUGGCUACCCCCAAGAACAUUAGCUGAGACUGAAUGCCUAAGGGUCAAACAGGAACUCCAUUUAUUAGGGAACAUGCACACAUCUUUAUACCAACCCUCCCCUCCAAACAAACCAGACAAUUUAGUUUUUUUAUGUUUAUUUAUUUACUCUAAGUUAGUUCAGG